AACGAACGCUGGCGGCAGGCCUAACACAUGCAAGUCGAGCGCCCAGCAAUGGGAGCGGCGCACGGGUGCGUAACGCGUGGGAACGUACCUCUUGGUACGGAAUAACACAGAGAAAUUUGUGCUAAUACCGUAUAAUAUCUCCGGAUCAAAGAUUUAUCGCCAAGAGAUCGGCCCGCGUUGGAUUAGCUAGUUGGUGAGGUAACGGCUCACCAAGGCUACGAUCCAUAGCUGGUCUGAGAGGAUGAUCAGCCACACUGGGACUGAGACACGGCCCAGACUCCUACGGGAGCCAGCAGUGAGGAAUAUUGGACAAUGGGCGAAAGCCUGAUCCAGCCAUGCCGCGUGAAUGAAGAAGGCCUUAGGGUUGUAAAGUUCUUUCAGUGGUGAAGAUAAUGACGGUAGCCACAGAAGAAGCUCCGGCUAAAUUCGUGCCAGCCGCCGCAGUAA
rnacentral:rRNA from 1 species